rnacentral:lncRNA from 1 species
GUUGCUUGAAGAGAGCCCAAACCCUUACUAGAGCACGUAUUAUUGGAGCACUGCUGGUGUCGUACUUAUUGAGAGACCAAAAAUGUCCACUUGGAUCCACUAAUUACUGCAAAGCGAAUUGGUUUGGUAGUGACCGACACUAGAAUGAAAAAUUUCUUGCCACCGUGUAUUAACAUCAAGACACCCACAUCACUGCAGGAAAACAUAACUUUGAAGUCGUAGAACUAGCUUUAACGCCAACAACAAUGCCAACGUGGAAAUCCAACUAAGAAUCCCUCCUUCCAACCGGUGGUACUUUUGGACUGAGAGGCCUGGACAAUGACAAUAACGGAUGAGUCGGCGCGGAUAGUUUUCGAAAAAAGGGUUUUGCGGGGUAUUUAUUGAGCUUUUUGAAUAGCGAAUACCGUUGGCGCUGGAACAAUGAGUUGUACGAGAUAUACCACGACGCUGACUUAGUUCAGAGAAUUAAGGGGCAAUGGCCACGUUAACUAGGCUUAUAUGGAAAACAAUACUUGGGCUCUCUCGGUGUCUCUAAGUGACGCCGAAUGACGAAAAUAAGAAAUGACUGGCACAUUAUUGUCGCCUUGGUUGUAAUGGCUUUAGCGGAACCUGCCGGACUUUACGAGUACUAUCGGUAAAUUUUAUACAUGCAUACAUACGUACAUAUUUCUUAAUAAUGGCGAAGAACACAAGAACACUUAAAUUGUUACUUCAGCAGUUCUCCCAAUUUCGUUCGAGAGGGUAAGACUUCGUCUGCUACAAUACUUCAGUAUAACAAAUCAUUGUCCACAUCAAGAUGAAGGAUCCAUAUAUAUUGCAAUCAGAUCAUGGCUAAAUGGCCGAAAUGAGAAAAAAAGUCACGAAGGUUCAACCAGCUGAAAGAAUUAUCCACAAUUAUCUAUACAGUUUUAAUUGAGCAGGCACAUAGGGUAAUUCUUCGUAACGUCAAAUGACUUCUGCUAGGAGAAUGAAUCUGCCACUUUAACGCUCUUACUUUAAAAUGUACACCACCUUAGAUCAUUAAAUUAAACCCUCCCGCGGAGUCUAUCUCUAGAGACUAUCUCUAGCGAGCACAAAGAUUCGUCAGCCGCUCAGAUUUGCUAAGUCACACAUUGGUUUGACUAGCCGAUUAGAGGGGCUCUAAAUAUCCUUAGUGGUACCAAAAUGAGCACGUUCGGAGACCUAAGUACACCGCUGACCACCAACCACUUGAGAACUUACAGGAAGAUCGCUUCAUAGAUGAUUACAAUUUUUGCCGCAAAAUUAUCUUUGCCGAUGAAGCUCAUUUCCAUCUCGAAGAAUAUAUCAAAAGGCAGAAAUUACAUAUUUGUAGCUUAAAAAGCCCUUUCAUAACCAUGGAAAAGAAAACGCAUUUUCAACGCGAGAACUUCCAAGUUUAUAACAACGUUCAUAGCCUAGGCUCGAUACUCCAAUUGGCGUGGAAUCUAAACUUUCGUAAAAUCACAACUACAUUAGACAGAUAACUCUGGUUGAAAGAAUUUACAGAAACAGAUCUUCUUCAAGUAUUUCUCACUUCACUUGGAAGCGCCCACACUGAAACAAGCGAGUGCUUGAUGUCUUAAACAAUUUAGAGCAGUAGGACAGCAUAAGCGCCCGCCUUAAGUCCGACAGAGGGCUACUCAAUUUAAAGUCAGCGCCGGCAAUUAUGAGAAUUACUAAGAUAAAAAUAAAAUUUUACGUUUACCCCACAACAAUAAAAAUCUCUGCAAUGAAUUUUUAUACACUUUUCCAUACAAUUUAUAAGGACUCACAAUGACUUACCAUAGACACGUUCGAUAUUGAGUCCUUUUACUUUCAUUCACUCUCGUAAGCGGUGAAAGCUCUAUUAUUAUUACAUAGUGCCAAAGUACCACUACUACCCAGCAAUUUGAGUCAAUGGCAAGCGGUGAGCAGCGGUCGUAAGGUGAGAAUCGUGCAAAAAGAGGCGAAACUGAAGCUGAAACGAUUCCAAUUGCGUUGUUCAAGUGGUCAGGCAACCACUUGACUUUUAUGGCUGCAUUUGAAGUGUGCUACAUUUUUAACGUUCCAUUGGUGCGCUCUGAAUAUUGCAAGAGAUGGCAGUUUUUCAUUGCAACUAGACAUAAAAUUCCAUUGCAAUACAUUUAAAUUGACCUCAAUAGUUACGACCAGCAACGACGUUCACGAGUGAUACCUGUCAGCGGCAGACUUGAGUUGCGGCAAUGUCAGCGUUAAAUCCUUUCUAGGAUCCCAAACGAAUAUUGAAAUAUUUAUACGCUCGCUUUUCAAUGACAGAAAAGUAGCUUUGAAUCGUCAAAACGGUUUAGUUUAACAAGCAUAUA